GACGAACGCUGGCGGCGUGCUUAACACAUGCAAGUCGAACGAAGAGCGAUGGAAGCUUGCUUCUAUCAAUCUUCGUGGCGAACGGGUGAGUAACGCGUAAUCAACCUGCCCUUCAGAGGGGGACAACAGUUGGAAACGACUGCUAAUACCGCAUACGAUCCAACCUCGGCAUCGAGGAGGGAUUAAAGGUGGCCUCUAUUUAUAAGCUAUCACUGAAGGAUGGUAGUUGGUCUGGUUAGAGAGUAGGAGGGGGAACGGCCCACAAAGGCAAGGAUCAGUGGACGGGCUGAGAGAAGAAGCUGCCCCACAGGGAAGGAGAACCGGCCCAGAAUCCUACGGGAGGCAGCAGUGGGGAAUCUUCCGCAAGGGGGGAAAGACUGACGGAGAAACGCCGCGUGAGGGAUGAGGGCCUUCGGGUUGUAUAGCUCUGUUAAUCGGGAAGAAAGAACUUCUUGCGAAUAGUUAGAAGAAUUGACGGUACCGGAAUAGAAAGCCACGGCUAACUACGUG
rnacentral:rRNA from 1 species